GGAGGAUUCGCCUAGUGGCCUAGGGCGCACGCUUGGAAAGCGUGUUGGGGGCAACCCCUCACGAGUUCAAAUCUCGUAUCCUCCGCCU
rnacentral:tRNA from 1 species